ensembl:miRNA microRNA 27a
UGGCCUGGGGAGCAGGGCUUAGCUGCUUGUGAGCAGAGUCCACAGCAAGUCGUGUUCACAGUGGCUAAGUUCCGCCCCCCGG